UACGUAGGGUGCGAGCGUUGUCCGGAAUUAUUGGGCGUAAAGAGCUCGUAGGCGGUCUGUCGCGUCGAUCGUGAAAACUUGGGGCUUAACGCUGAGCUUGCGGUCGAUACGGGCAUGACUGGAGUUCGGCAGGGGAGACUGGAAUUCCUGGUGUAGCGGUGAAAUGCGCAGAUAUCAGGAGGAACACCGGUGGCGAAGGCGGGUCUCUGGGCCGAUACUGACGCUGAGGAGCGAAAGCGUGGGGAGCAAACAGG
rnacentral:rRNA from 1 species